AAAAGCUGAGUAUUUUUUGUUAGUUUUUCUUUCAAAAACUGACAUUUCAAUCUUGACUUAUUCAAAUUGAAAUCAUUAGUUUCCCCUUUCUCCUCUAGAUCUGUAACCCUCAGUUUGUGAAGAUUUAACUAAUUUAUCUUCAAAAAUCAGGUUUAGUUUAUUAAGUUCUCUUGAAAAACUUAAUCUAGUUACUAUUACUAGUAGAAAAAAUAGUUUGAAACACAGUCAAAGUAUCUAAAUCUCUCAAUUUCUAUCAGAAUAAUAGAGAAUGAUGUCUUUUCUGAGGAGAUUUCUGAGAUUGAGUUUCUUAAGAAAAGAAAAAAGAAAUAUCAAGAUCAGAUGCAAGAGAUUCAAAAUUUUGAAAAUGCUGUCAAAUGCUUGAAAAAUCAAUG
rnacentral:sRNA from 2 species